rnacentral:rRNA from 1 species
UGUACACGCUGUGACUAGCAUAUCAAUAAGCGGAGGAAAAGAAACUAACAAGGAUUCCCCUAGUAACGGCGAGUGAAGCGGGAAGAGCUCAAAUUUGAAAUCUUAAAGGGUUUCCCUUUACGAAUUGUAGUUUAAAGAAGUGUUUUCUGUUGAGGUUUUGGUAAAAGUUCUUUGGAAUAGGACAUCAUAGAGGGUGAGAAUCCCGUAUUUGACCCUUUACUUUCAACUUUGUGAUACACUUUCAAAGAGUCGGAUUGUUUGGGGAUGCAGUCCAAAAUGGGUGGUAAAUUUCAUCUAAAGCUAAAUAUUGGCGAGAGACCGAUAGCGAACAAGUACCGUGAGGGAAAGAUGAAAAGAACUUUGAAAAGAGAGUUAAACAGUACGUGAAAUUGUCAAAAGGGAAGCGUUUGACACCAGUGUUGUUUUUCUGAAAAUCAGUUAAAGAACUGUUUAUGCUAAGUUGUUUAGACUUUAUCAGCUAUACUGUUUAGUUUUGAGCUUUUCUUUAAUGCACUUUUCAGUUAACAAGUCAACAUCAAUUUCUUUUGCUGUAAAAAAGCUUGAGGAAGGUGGCUUGAGAUUCGUCUUAAGUGUUUAUAGCCUCUUGCCUAUGCAGUCGGAGAGAUUGAGGUCUGCAGCGUAGAUCCUUCGGGGCUAAUGCAUUUGUGCUAAGUUAUAGCAUUUUAUAGACAACUUGUUGACUAUGAUUUGUCUUGUAAGCUUACUCGCUUAUGUUAUUUUACCUACGCUUAGGAUGUUGACGAGACUGUCGAUCUC